UAUAAGACGAGAAGACCCUAUGGAGCUUCAAACUCAACUACACCCCUAAUUCCUAUACCCCCUUAGCCAUACCUGGGCCCUGUUUAGUUAGUUUUAGGUUGGGGCGACCACGGAGUAAAACAAAACCUCCACAAUGAACGGGACUACCCCCUUAUCCAAGAGCCACACCCCUAAGAAUUAGAAUACUGACAUAAAAUGAUCCAUUAUUUGAUCAACGAACCAAGUUACCCUAGGGAUAACAGCGCAAUCCAUUUCAAGAGCCCUUAUCGACAAAUGGGUUUACGACCUCGAUGUUGGAUCAGGGUCCCCCAGUGGUGCAGCAGCUACUAACGGUUCGUUUGUUCAACGAUUAAAACCCUACGUGAUCU
rnacentral:rRNA from 1 species